UCUCCGUAGGUGAACCUGCGGAGGGAUCAUUACAAGUGACCCCGGCCUUACCACCGGGAUGUUCAUAACCCUUUGUUGUCCGACUCUGUUGCCUCCGGGGCGACCCUGCCUUCGGGCGGGGGCUCCGGGUGGACACUUCAAACUCUUGCGUAACUUUGCAGUCUGAGUAAACUUAAUUAAUAAAUUAAAACUUUUAACAACGGAUCUCUUGGUUCUG
rnacentral:misc_RNA from 1 species